rnacentral:rRNA from 1 species
CCUACGGGAGGCAGCAGUAAGGAAUAUUGGUCAAUGGACGCAAGUCUGAACCAGCCAUGCCGCGUGCAGGAUGAAGGCCCUCUGGGUUGUAAACUGCUUUUAUAGGGGACGAAAAAGGGACUUUCUAGUUCAACUGACGGUACCCUAGGAAUAAGCACCGGCUAACUCCGUGCCAGCAGCCGCGGUAAUACGGAGGGUGCAAGCGUUAUCCGGAUUUACUGGGUUUAAAGGGUGCGUAGGUGGGUCGGUAAGUCAGCGGUGAAAUCUUCGAGCUUAACUCGGAAACUGCCAUUGAUACUAUCGAUCUUGAAUCAUCUGGAGGUAAGCGGAAUAUGUCAUGUAGCGGUGAAAUGCUUAGAUAUGACAUAGAACACCAAUUGCGAAGGCAGCUUACUACGGAUGUAUUGACACUGAGGCACGAAAGCGUGGGGAUCAAACAGGAUUAGAUACCCUGGUAGUCCACGCCUAAACGAUGGAUACUCGACAUACGUGAUAUACUAUGUGUGUCUGAGCGAAAGCAUUAAGUAUCCCACCUGGGAAGUACGAUCGCAAGAUUGAAACUCAAAGGAAAUUGACGGCUGAGAGAGCGAGACGACGACGAGGGAGAGG